AACGGGGAAUUAGGGUUCGAUUCCGGAGAGGGAGCCUUAGAAACGGCUACCACAUCCAAGGAAGGCAGCAGGCGCGCAAAUUACCCAAUCCUGAUUCAGGGAGGUAGUGACAAUACGCAGCAAUGCAGGGCGUUUUACGCUUCUGCAAUUGAAAUGAGUACAAUUUAAAAAACUUAACGAGUAACAAUUGGUGGGCAAGUUCUGGUGCCAGCAGCCGCGGUAAUUCCAGCACCAAUAGCGUAUAUUAAAGUUGUUGCAAUUAAAACGCUCGUAGUCGAAUUUCAAGAAAAGAUAUCUGUUACAAUUUAAUUGUUUUACAGGUUGAGAUUCUUUACAUUUGGAGUAAGUUCAUUGAACGUAUUUCAAAAGUUUUACUUUGAAUAAAUUAGAGUGUUCAAAGCAGGCAAUUUGCUUGAAUACAUUAGCAUGGAAUAAUAGAAUAGGACUUUGGUUUUAUUUUGUUGGUUUUAAGAACCAAAGUAAUGAUUAAUAGGGAUAGUUGGGGGCAUUAGUAUUUAAAAGUCAGAGGUGAAAUUCUUGGAUUUUUCAAAGACUAACUAUUGCGAAAGCAUUUGCCAAGGAUGUUUUCAUUGAUCAAGAACGAAAGUUAGGGGAUCUAAGACGAUCAGAUACCGUCGUAGUCUUAACCAUAAACUAUGCCGACUAGGGAUCAGUGGAAUUAUUCAUUGGCACCUUAUGAGAAAUCAAAGUUUUUGGGUUUUGGGGGGAAUAUGGUCGCAAGAGUGAAACUUAAAGGAAUUGACGGAAGGGCACCACCAGGAAUGGAGCCUGCGGCUUAAUUUGACCCAACACGGGAAAACUUACCAGGUCCAGACAUAGUAAGGAUUGACAGAUUGAGAGCUCUUUCAUGAUUCUAUGGGUGGUGGUGCAUGGCCGUUCUCAGUUGGUGGAAUAAUUUGUCUGCUUGAUUGCGAUAACGAACGAGACCUUAACCUGCUAAAUAGAUGCAUUAACAUUUGUUGAUGUAUGUUCUUAGAGGGACUGAUUACAACAAGUAAUUGGAAGUUUGAGGCAAUAACAGGUCUGUGAUGCCCUUAGAUGUUCUGGGCCGCACGCGCGCUACACUGUUGGAGGCAACAAGUAUAUAACCUUUAUUGAAAAAUAUGGGUAAUCUUUUGAAACUCCAACGUGCUGGGGAUAGACCAUUGCAAUUUGGUCCUCAACGAGGAAUUCCUAGUAAGCGCAUGUCAUCAACAUGCGUUGAUUACGUCCCUGCCCUUUGUACACACCGCCCGUCGGUGCUACCGAUUGAGUGACUUAGUGAGAUUUUUGGAUUCAAAGUAUUUUUUGCAAAUUAAAUAUUUUUUAGAAAUUACUCAAACUUGGUCAUUUAGAGGGAGCAAAAGUCGUAACAAGGUU
rnacentral:rRNA from 1 species